UACAGAGGGUGCGAGCGUUGUCCGGAAUCGCUGGGCGUAAAGGGCGCGUAGGUGGCGGCCCAAGUCCAUGGUGAAAGCUCGUCGCUCAACGACGAGUCGGCCACGGAUACUGGGUUGCUCGAGCACUGUAGAGGCAGAUGGAAUUCCGGGUGUAGCGGUGGAAUGCGUAGAGAUCCGGAAGAACACCGGUGGCGAAGGCGGUCUGCUGGGCAGUAGCUGACACUGAGGCGCGACAGCGUGGGGAGCAAACAGG
rnacentral:rRNA from 1 species